UGUUUGUAGCUUCUAUUUGGGUUAACUUAUUUUGCGUUAACUUUCAAAAUGGUUUUUUGUUGGAAUGGGCAGGAUAGAUGCAUGGUGUAGAUGGUGGAGUUGCAUCCAGAGGGAUUUGAAGAAGCACGAGGCCAGUUUAACAGGUGAAAAUGGGUAGCUGUUGUGCUUAGCUUAUAUUCCCAGAGUUAAAGUACAAUAGAAACUAAUGUUUCUGCCAAAUGUUUAUGUAUAGAUUCAGCACAGACAUGUCUGGCUCAUUCUAAUUUGUAAAGAUUUACUUAUGCUAGUCAACUAAUUUGCUGUGAUUA